AUCGCAAAGAUUCCGGGGGAUCCUUCCUGGUGACUAAGGAAUGAUUCGUAUAGACUUUGUUUCAGUAGCUUCCGUAAAUCUGGACUGAAGGACUGCGCGCCACUGCCUCCUCAUUUCAAAUUGCCCGCCAGACUGAUGUUAUGUCUCUGUGGAAAGGGAACGGUCGUCUCAACAGCAGCUGGGCGCCUGCCUGCUCUUGUCUACCCAUAGAAGAGGCAGACGCACGCAUGGCUAACGGGAAAGGUAAACUCGGCAACAACUGAUCACGUUUGUUCAUCUAUCCGAAGUCAGUCGAAAGGAAGUACAGACAUGUUCCUUAGUCGUUGCAUUCGUUCCCGUCGCUGUUAUUGCUCAUGAUGCGUCGUCUCAGCGAAACUUCGGCCAGAGUGCCCUCCUCCUUUUGCUUUGGUUGGACGACGAGGAAUCCAAUUCGAACGAAGACUUGAAACACCAGGGCGCCGCACCGUCUCGGGGGGUGUACUGUAAUCAAAGUAACACGAUAUGAUUCGCAACGAAAUAAUCUGGAGAGAAGGACGCUCAGAACCAAACGUUCGGUCAGAGUGGAAUGAGUCGCGUGCUAGUGAAUGAACGAUUACUGGCGAAGCAAGGAGGGUGUAGUCUUUGCCGCUGUGCAAUAAUAACAACAUUAACAAAGAAACAACCGGAUCGGGGGCGGGAACGUAGCGUGUUGACGUGCCGCCACGGGUGGUACCGGCACAGAUGGUGUAACAUUGGCUAGUGCAUGCUAAGCGCUCGAACGUGGUUGUUCCACAGCUGUGCGUGGUUUAAUGCAUUUGACGACGCACGUUCGUAAGGUUCCAAGAUGGGUUUUCCUUGCAUAGAAUAGAUCGAGGUGAACUUCGCAUGCAGGAAAAGCUUUUCCGUGACAAGAACUCUGAGUUGUGCAAGUGCUUGUUAAGAGGCGGGGUUUCGAGCUGGAUUAUAUGGGGUACCAUUGGUUUCUCAAAGUUCUGCUAGUGAUUUGAACCACUUCAUCUGUUGAAGUUCUUCCGCUCGGCGACAGGGAUAAGCUGUGGCGUUCAUGACUCAUUUGUCAUCAGGAGUAACCUAUUAGCUUGUGAUUAUAUCAGAUAAAAUGGCCAAUAGAACAUCAACUCUUUAAUGUGCGCUUUGACGUUGGGAGCUUGUACUGGGCGGCAUUAGAAGAAAGGCGCUCUUACUGUUAUUAACGUGAUGUGCAUCGCAUCAGUCUAAUACUUGCAGAUAGAAGCAGCGAUCUGAAGCGAAAAAGGAUUGAUCGUUAGUACGCUAUUAAUAAUAUAUAAAACGGAUAUAGAAGAAGUCGCAGCAUUUGUUAACUGAGCCGGCCACAGUAUCGGUACCAUAUAGCUAAGCAAGACGAAAAUACCACUUCAUAAGAUCUCGCACUACCCAUCGUUGUCCGAACUCUAACUAGACCGAACCGACCUAAGGAUGGCCUCUGCCACCAAUGGUUCCGUUCGACCCAGCUCCGAGCAGUCAACACCAUUAUCGUCACGGCACUCCACCACAAUCAAUGGCCACAUCUGUAGUCGAGUGCCUGCUUUAUCAACUAGAAAGCUUCCGGAGGGCCACAGCACUGCGUACGACAACAGUUAUCAACAAGAACCUAAGCAUAAUCAGAAGCUUGGAGAGGACCAAGAAAAUUCUUCAGUUACUGACGGUGGCGCUUACCCUAAGUCUCUUGCUCUGACAGCACAAAGUCGAAGACCGAAAUCGAUCCUACAAUUACAAGCUGACCCUAGUUCAACCUCGAACCAUUUCGACCCUCGGAUACACAACAGUCCCUUGCGUAAGCGACAGGCUCAUGAUGCUGUCACAUCAGUGUGUAUGCUCGUUUUCGUCCCCACGGCAAUUGUUAUCUUUUUGGUUUACCUCGUAAUGCUUUGUAGAUACUACUCAUGUGUAAGGAAUACUCUUAAGCUAGUGGCAGCCCUGCUCGAGGCCGUCGUUUGGUCCCGACCCAUGAGGAUGUUUUCGGAAUUGGCGGGAAUCCCUGUGGCCCUAGGAAUUGCUGUCUCAAUGUACUAUCUCGUCAUAUUCUAUUUCAACAGCGAUGUGCCUGGGGUGCGGCCCCCGCUACCGCAUAUCAGCUGGAAAACAGGGAUUCGGGCAGAUCCCAAUUACAGCUUCGGACUACUACUGGGUUUCAUUUGCUUAGUUUUCUACUCAAUUCCAGAUAUUUUACUGUUUCAUUCAGCAAGAAUCUACAAUAGCGGCUGAACUGUGAAGCAAUAAAAAAUUUACGUGGAGCUAAGGUUGCACACAACCUAAAAUUCCAUGGAUCGACUUUAGAGAAUAUAAGCAUGCAUGCAAAAAAUACGCUUGACAAAGAUUUCGGAAGACAACGAAGAAAAAUGCAAGCAAAUCAAGUUGGUAGAGAAACAUGUAAUAGCUAUCAGGGCAAUGUAAAUGGCCGUUGAAACCAGCACAAAAGCAAUGUAAUUUCUACAACUGUCAAUAGCUCAAAAAUACUUUAUAUGUAUAUAUAUACAUAUGUACACUACCAGAGCAACAGAAGUGAAUUAGCUACUUAACUUAGAUAACCUCUAUAAAAUCAUGCCGUUAUUCAGGCACUGUAAUAUUAUGUAAAUAAAUGAUACUCAGAGCUACCCGUUCCAAGCAAAACAAUAAUAAAAUCUAUAGCAUUACACAAAGCUAACCAAAGCUAUUCACAACAGUUUCAGUAUUUAACUGAGUCAUAUGGAACGCAAAAACCGCACAAAUCUACAGUAUAUAUAUAUAUAUAUAUAUAUAUAUAUAUAUAUUGUUCAAUUGCACCACCGUGUGAGACACGCUUAAGACGGGGCAAAAAUUUACUUUUGCUAUGAGUUCUAUUAUGAAAUAAAGGUAACAAUCUGUAAAGCUCUGAAAAAAACAUAGACGCAAUGCGCAGUGGAGUGCUAUACGAGCACAAUUUUAGAGAUAUCCGCUAUCAUAGAGAUAAUCUGUUUAUCUAGGACGUUUAACACGUUCCUCAAUGGAAUCGGACACGCCUGGGUACCAGCCUGAGCAAGUGAAGCCACUUGUAGCUAUUGCCGACGUGAUCGUGCUAUUGUAACGUGCCUAUGCAUAGUGAACUGACCGUAUUUGACGUUGGCUUUCCCAGCUAGCUGACGUGGCAAGCGUAGAAAAGAUGCUACAGUGUAGUCCGAUUUGUCUAUGGUUGUAAAACGUAAACACUGUCAAAAAAAAUUGUCUGAACAAUGGCAGUCAUGCUUUUCUCGAAUUUAUCUGCUGAGGCAGGUGUUGCAUCGCCAAUAAAGUUCCUUUAAGUUAACUGUAAAGAGCAUGGCUUCCGGGGGACAUUCAAAACAAGUCAACUGAGAAAAAAACAAUCUAUGUGUAUUUAUGCAAACGGAAAAAGUAAUACGGGACCAGGAAAAUGUUCAAAUGAGGGGGUAAAUAGUCAUCGAAAUCUAUAUUUACCUGCUGUUACAUUGAUGGAGCCAAUAUAUGACCAGAUGGUAAACGAACAUUACACAUAUGGUAUCUAGGUCCAUAUAAAAGCGGUGCAUCUUUAGAGCCAGUAUACCUGUCUGCAUAUUGCUUAGGCGAGAAUCUUUUGCCACGAAUAUUUUCUAAAUGGCUUUACAAUUUCGACCAGAUUCAGAAGGAAUAAGGUACAACAUUGUACAUUUCAAACCUCAGUGCCUCUCUAGAUGCUGAAAGUGCUUAGACGCAGUAGAGGGUGUUUCAGUACCUUAAAAGUGAUGUUAAGUGAAGCGCACCUCUCAUGCGCAUGUUAAGACAGAAUUGCUACAGUAAGGACAAAAAAACAAAAUCCCAACUGUUAUGAGCAAAGAAAAAAUGCACAAAAAUAUCUGAGGCCGUGUGUGGGCGUUCUGUUUUGUCAAUCUUCGCUCAGUUACCUUUGAAAACGAGCUGUGUACGUAUAAACAUAAUAUUGCUUUCGGCAGUCCUUUUUACAAUUACAUCUUUACGUGUCCAUAAUGUUUUCUAAUUAUCGUAAGUAUUUCAGACUAACUAAUUAUUUAGAAUUCUAGUAUAACACUUAUUAGCGAUUUCCGUGGUGUCGGAAUAAGUUUCAUUUGUCAUUAUUCACCGAAAAAGUCUUUUUACAUUUGACCAUUAUAUCAUGCUGCUUAAUUGAUCAACAGGAUAAGGCAAAAACAAUUUGAAAUCAUUCACUUGACAGUUUUUAUGUUACAUCUGUUAAAAUAGUGACGAAGUUAAAUGUAAUGAGAAAGAUCAAUUGCAGACUGUCUGUCAAGUGCCCGUUUUCAAAGCUGUCAGGACGUUCAUGCUUUUGUCUUGUAUAUGGCUCUUCCCCACCGGCAAUUGUGGGUCUUCAAGUCUCAGUUAGUUGUUUUAGUUUUCCGUUUUAGCGAACGAAUAACGUCUAUAUAGUUAACUGCAAUAAAAUUAUAAUGCACAGCAUAGACAUUUCGUCACGGUGAUCCUAUCUGCGACAGAACGUUAAAAACUGUUAUUGUCUACGGCUACAGUAACUUGUUCUACUGUGUGUUGAAAAACAGACACAAUUAAGAUUCUACAAUAUUGCACAAGCCUUUUUUUUAUUUUCUCUAUAAAAUCAAAAACCGUACCGGUGCGCGCGAAUGCUUUUGUCAUUUGCUGGUCACCAUUUCGAGAAUAAUAAUAAAAUAAAUCUUGUAUAUUAAGUAGACGUUGCUCGGGCCUCGAACUAAUUAAAAAGAAAGAUCAGGCUCCUUGCUGUGGCAGCGUCGAGAUCUAACAAUAAAAAGAAAACAAAAUAAAGUACAUACGCGACCCUGCCUAUUUGCAUAAUUCUGGAGCUCUCAACAAAGACAACCGAACAGUCAAGAUAGAAGAACCAGUGACCGGCGUAACGCCUCACCGAAAUACCCCUUGCAGACUAAUAGAGUUUAUGGCUUGCCCUAUCGUAGCUAGAACAACUCGUUCCAACACGGCACAUAUACAUUUUGUAAAGUAAUAUAUAUCGCACAUAUGUCGCGUAGAGGAACGUAUAGUGUAUAUAGUGAAAUAAAACUAUCCAAAUACGAAUUGUUGAUGCUUUUCUAUUAGAGAUCGAAUGAUAUAAAUGAAUCAAAUACGCAGUCGGACACUGGAUUAAGUUGAUUGAACGGUCACUAGGUUGAAUUUUAAAGUUUUAGCUGCCAUUUACCAUUAAGCCACCACUAAAACCAUGGCGGAAUGGGCCUAUUCAGCGAUUUACAAUUUUUUUUCUACAAAUUCACACAGAAUUUUACGCUAUGUCUAAUUAGAAAAAGUCGUUUUUCUUUAAUGAUUUUUAUGGUUACUUUACUUAGGCACAAGUCAAAUCAGAAAAACGUUGAUAGGUUUGCCGCAAAUGAAUGUAGCCAUAUUUUAGUCGAUCGAUUUUGAUAUUGAGCGUAAACCAUUCGAUACGCGAAGUACUAAUGGUGCUCCAGCUGAUCAUGCAAAUAGCGAUCUGAACUUCGACAAUAAAACGUUCUAUGUGCUAUGGUGCAAUUCCAUUAGAUUCUAUAGUUGUUCGUAUCGUAUCGAUUUGAAGUGCUGAUACUGCAUUUCUAUGCAUUUAUAAUCGGUCAUCGUGUUCGGACAUCCUGAAGCCAGUUGUUUCAAGACCUUUGCCACUUGAAUGCAACCGGAAAGGAAACAUACGGACUUGUACCAAUCACGAUUGCGAAUACUGACAACUUAUUAACUUUCAAACGAAUCAGGCCUUUCCAAGUAAGUUUACCAAGCCUUCGUUCGUUUAGAGAAAUCGGCAAAAAUAGACUUUGUUGAAAUGGCAGGUUAAUAUUGGUCAUUAUGAAAAAUAUGCCGUUUUUCAACGUUCAAAUGUAUCCAGUAUUUUCAUGGUUAAGCCCCCGGGUUCGGGGAUGCACGGAAUACAGGUUCGGGAACGGUGACAAUAUCGCCCGAUAGCAUAAACACUUUUAAAGCUUCUUUCUUUAUCAAUACUUUUUGUUGUAUGAUAGCGUCCAUAGUCACUAUGCCUUUAUGCAUUUACCUUACAAAGAUAGUCGAAAAAAAAAACUUAACUCUUGCUUGCCCAGAUCAGUCGGCAGUUCUCAAGGCAAUAAAGUGCACUCUGCAAUUUAAUAAAUGUACGACUUUCAUGUCACUUUUAACAUUGAACAUGACCAUAAGUGUUCGAUAAUUUUGUCUUGUCCUGUUUUGUUUUCUCGUAUAUAGCACGUUCUGUAUGUAUUACUUGCGCCUGCACGUAGAUUAGCUGAGUAACACCCUAUGCAUCUAUCGACUCUAUGAAUGUUGCUAUCUGGACCGCAUUAUCAGGAGUUAACGGCAGGACUCGUUUGCGAUUGUAAUGAGGUGCGAGACCUUCAAAUCUCCAUUCCUGGAAUUUGAGCCAAACUAGAAGGAUUAGAAGACUCAGUAUAUGGAUUAGUCUGAUUAGAAGAAAGGCCAUUGUACUCAUCCGAAAGCAGACGUUAAAAUCGAGUUAGUAAAAAGCUUCCAGAAUAGUACUCACACAACUUUUUCAGUUUGUAUUUUUUAAAGCUGCAGUCUACCGAAAGUUGCGAUAAAAUGCUUACGAACAAGCCCUCUUGCCUCAUCGUUGUUAAAAAAUGUUCCGUCGAUAUUAUAAUACUUCAAUGACAAAAUACGAUAUGAUCAUUCUAAUGUAUUUCCACCCCAAAAACCUGAUAGACUUUGUUCAAUUCCUGGUGAAUGCUAUAAUUCAGUGUAGUCUAUCAGAACUUAUUAACUAGAGGACGUCUAUUGUUCCCUCGUUUGUUCGCUUCCUCAUUUGCAAUAUACGCUCUUUUGUUUUAUAAUCACCUGUUUAAAACACUCAGUAUAACCGAGCAUAACGAAUAAGUCAAGGAGUGAAUUUUACUUAUCUUAUCUGCUUGUAUUUCUCUAGACAACGUAAGCGUCGAGCUGAAACUUUUCCGACGUACUGAUCAUGCCAGGGGUGCGUGAAGUGACACCUGUGUCGGCUGGAUACCUCGGUAGAGCGCGUCGUCACGAAGACGACCAACAAUGCCAAAAGUCUUCAACACUACCUUCGAUUACUUUAACAAAAGCAAGCCUAUCGCAGUCCGAGAGCACCGUAUCAGACAAAAGUGAGCAAGAGAUCGUACGACCCAAUGAUGGCUCAUCGAAUCAGAUAUACCACCCACGGAUAAAUUUGGUCAGACGUAAUGAUUCUAAACAGAGAAAGAGCAGACUAGAAUCGGGAUCAGGAAGAACAAACUCGGAGGCUGGUCACACAUCAACCCCACUUCGUCCGAUGCAACGUACUGCUUUGUCGCUGCAUUCGUGCAGCACUCUUUAUCCUCGUCCACGACACUCCAGUCUGCAGAAAAAGCAAAAUUCCUUGAUGAGCAAGCUAAUUAAGAUUGUACCCGUCGUCAUUGUGACCGCAGUCAUUUUUUGCUUAAUCCUUUAUGCGGCGACCUAUCCUGAGCGUAUUUUCUUUCUACAGAACGCAUUCAAUCUCGCCAUGGACUCGGUCCACGUGCCGAUUCGACGCGGCGUCUUUUCGAGACUUUUGAGCGUUGCCGGUAUCCCAGUCUUUGUCUCUGUUUAUUACCUUUUAGUAUUUUAUUUCAAUCGAGACGUUCCCGAAGCGCUCACAUUUGUUCCGUUUUUAAAUGGAAGAACAAAAAUUGUAGACUUACAUUUUUCUUUCAGUCUGUUAGUUGGCGGAACCGCCUGUUUCAUCUUGUUCACCAUGCCGAAUCUAGUGUUUUUCCAUAUGAAAAGAAUAUACGCGAUUGAUUAAGCUGGAAAUUAGAAAAGGAAUAGAAAAGACAAUCAGAAAGAUAUUGCUCACUUUACUACUUUUUUCUCCAUAAGAAAUACGAGGUCAUUUACGCGGCUAGGAAUAAACGAGUGGCUAAAAGUCGAUUUUGAAUUUUAGCGGUCUAAAAUAACAGCAGAGAAAAUUUCGAUGCUUUAGUACUUUACAGUAAUAAGUGUGUAUUAACAAGUGCGUUAGGAAAAUCUUAUUAGAUUAUUAUAGCAGUUACAAUUGAUUCAAGUGCUAAUUCGCUUGCCCUGUUUCUUUAUAACUCUGUUCUGUUAUCUUCAAGAGAAUUAAAAACAAAAAUAUUCCUUCGAAGAAACGGUUUGAUGUGAUUUGUUGCGAUACUAUAUACUGCAACAACUUUUCAUUAAAUUUGUUUCUACAAAUUUCCCUAUCAUUUAGUAGAAGAAGAGAAAUGUGUAAAUUUAAGUAAA